GCGUUGAUAGUACAAGGGUAGUAUUUGAGCCUUCCAUUCCUUCCGAAUAACAGCUUAAGACCUGGGUUCGAGUCCCAGUCAACGCA
rnacentral:tRNA from 1 species